UCUUGAGAGCAUCCCCCAGAACCUCUGCAGAGGCCCUGGAGGAGAUUUCAACACUGCAGCAGCCUCAGACCGGCUCCAUCCGAGCCCUCCCAGCUCUCCAGCACUGCUGAGCCUCCCUGGCUUGUCCUCCAGGAAAAUCCCAGCACUUUUAAUAGGCCACGAGGCAUCUCCAAUAAUUCCAGCAGAUGCUGCCAGUUAAUAACUUUUGGCCCCUGUUUCAGCUGGAGGAUGUUCCCAGGACCAGCUGCUCUCAGCAUCACCUGGAUCAGAGAAUAUCCUGAGGUGGAAGGGACCCACAAAGAUCAUGGAGUCCAACUCCUGAGCCUGCACAGGACCACCCCAAGAGUGUGUGUGACAGAGCAGGAUGGGGUGUGUGAUUGAUCCCAGCAGGGUAAAACACCCAAGCACAGCCAAUGCACGAGGAAGAAUCCAUUUCCCAGCCAUCAUUUACAGCAAUCCUUAAGGAAAGCAGGCUCAAGUCGAGGUGCAUGGACAGGCUCCAGCAGGGUGGGAAGCUCGGAGCCAGCAGGGAGGGCUCUUUGAUCCCCGAGCCAUCGCACAGCAGGGCUUUGAAAGGCGCUCGGCACAAACAGCGUGCCAGGAAAACUCCUUCUCCCGGCAAGCUCCGAUAGGGAUCGCCGAGAAUAAAGUCACUUCAUUUACAAACCGGGGAGCCAAAUCUGAUAGACAUCAACAUUCGAGGGGGAAAAGGAAGGAAUGGAAGAGAUGGAAUUCUUUGUGAAGCUGAGCUGCUUUAAGGAGGGGAGGCUGGGACGCGAUUUUGGGGGUGGGAGGGUGGGUAUCCACGUCCCCCUGCAGCCAAGAUGCAUUUCCACCCCUUCCCACUGCAAAAUGAGCCCCCCCCCUCCCGGGGUAAAGCAGGAGCCACCAGGCACCACCAAAUCGCUUUUUCCAAUGUAACAAAAAAAAUUCCCCAUUUUCUCUGCUGCCAGGGGGAAACCUAAAGGUCUGGGAACCAGAGGAGCAGCCCCAGGAGCACCUUCUCCACACCCUAUAACCAACAAGUACCACAGAGCAGCAAAAUCCCAUUAUUUAGCCACUUUGGAGAGGCAAAGAUGCUUUUAAUAUACAAUUGCACCUUGGAAACAUAAAGGCAGCACAUUAAAUAACAAAGCAAUUGACUGCUGGGUCCCUUUGCUGGGUCACAAAAAAACGGGGCUCACUGGCUAAUUAUUGCCGGGCAUCUCUGCGCCUCUCCAAACAUACCAAUGCUUUCAGAAACCCACCCCAGCUGUGCCUGACAUUUCACUCCUAUUAAAAUUCAUCAUUCUCCUGAAUGGAAAUAAUUUUUUUCUUUCGCAAACCCAGGUAGUAAUGAAAGUUUUAUUUAGUAAUGUAGUGUUUAGUGGAAAAGGGGGCAGAGCAAAGGGAAGAGAAAUUGAGAUUAUCUUUUUAAAAGGGGAACUUGAGGUGGGGGAAAAGAUAUUGCUGGAUAUUUCUAGGGCGCAGGGGGCCACUUUUGGUGCCAUGCUUGGAGGUUUGGUCUCACAGCUCUCGUUAGUGGGAUGAGAACAGCAAAACACCUGGGAAAAAAGCUGUAAGAGAAGCACAGCUGAUGGAGGGAUGCUGGGCCGGGCGGGUUUAGGGGGUGGCAGUGAUUUCCCCCAGCAGCUGCAGCCCUUUUCUUCACUGGGCAAAAAUGAUCCAGGGACAGCUAAGGAAGAUUCGGGCCAAGGAUGGAUCUCGAGAGACACGAGGGACAGGGCAUGAGCAGCUGGAGGAGGACUGGGGGGAGCACAGCUCAUCCCCAGGUACUCAGCCACCCCCUCACCCUUCAUCCCACCUCCUCCUCCUCCUCCCCUGGAGGCGGGCAGGGCUUUGAUCUCGGCCAGCAAUGAAAAGGCCACGUUUGUGCGGUGAGAAGGCAUUCCAGGAGGGAAGGAGCUGUGGAGCAGCGUGGCUGGGAUGCAGGCACCAUGCCACCCCUUUCCACACUGCCGGGGAAUUGCAAAUACCCCAAAUAACCAAGGAUGGGUGGCUCUGCAAACGCAGCUGCUGUGCCCGUGUGAUACCACGGAACAAAGGUAGGAAUGGGGAAGGAUGGAGGCAAUUCUGGGAGUGGCCCAAAGUCAUCCCUGUAUCCUGCAAGCCCCCCCGGGGCACCAGCCCCAUUUCCAGGCCCUCUGCAAAAGGAGUCACAUCUCACCCCCUUCUCCCUGGGGCCUCCCAGAGCCCCAUCCCCAUCCAGGCACCAUCAGGGACAUGCCAUGGCACUGCCACCCAGGCACUAACCCCAGCCUGAGUGCCUGACCACGGCAGCCUCUGGCUGGCUCCCAAAUAUUCAGGCCGUGGAAUCUGAAGAGUUCAGCCAAAGCACGGAGGGGAAAAAUAAGUAAACCAAGCAAUAUGUGCACGUUCCACAGCUGCCUGCCCAUGGAAGCCCCACAAGGAUGCGACGUGAGGUUCACCUGGCUCCUCAGACAACACUUGCCACGGGCUGCACCUCCCGCUGUCAGUCCUGCUUGGCACUAAUUACCAUUGAUAAUUGCACUGAUGGUGACCAUAAUUUUCCUGCCCUCUCUCCCUACCUUCACACAAGGGUUCAAUGGCCUAAUGAGGCCCCUGAGGAUAAUCAGAGAGGAGCAGGUUCCCCCACCACGAUGGCAGCUCCUGCACAACGUGAGGGGAUGGGAGAGCAGAGAAGGGAAAGGCACAGCCCAGCUGCUGGAUGGGGAAAGCUCCAAGUCUUGUUUACUUGGGGACACAGAGAAAAGUUCACUCCAAUUAAUUUUUUUAAGUGGACGGGCGUUAAUCCCCCUACACUUAUCUAGAAUUAACGCAGCCUUAAGGAGAUUUUUGCCUAAUCCACUUCCACAUGCGCCCCAAAAGGGCACUGCCUGUUUUGGGAAGGAGCAGAGUUCAGCUAAUCCACUUAAAAUUCACAGGGCUGGUUUGUUCAGAUUAACCUCCUCCAGCAUUAAUCCUCCAGAGGCAGGCCAGGAGACCUCAACACCAUCCUGCCUCUGCCACUGACGGGGCUGUGUCACCUGCAAUGCAGCUGGGGUCCACAAGGACACAGAGAUAUCCCCAAAACAGCCACCACAGCACAGCAAGGCAGCAGGGUGGGACAACCAGGGGCUUUGGGGCUGUUUAAAUCCCAAUGGCCAGAGGAAGGAGAGCAGAAGCAGCAGCAAUGCUCAGACACAGACAGGGAGAAGGGAGGCAGCUGUGCCCAGGCUGGAGGGGUGCUCACAGUGCUGGUGGAGGACAGCCAGCCAAAAGUGACAGCCAUGGGACACCAGCCAAGUGCCAGCAGCUCUGACAACCCCCAAAAAGGCACAGGUGAAGGGCACCAUGGUCACCAAGACAGGGGCUCUUCCCUCCCCAGCACGGAUCUGCUGCUCUGACAGGAACCGACACCGCACUGACGGCCACGGAUGCUCACGGUUCCCACCUCACAUCUCUUCCUGCCAGCAAAGCAGAGGAGGUCCUCUCCUGACUGGAGCAGCUCCCCUUUCCAUGUCAAACUCUGGGAAGGCACACAGCCCAUCAGGGCCCAGUGGUGGAGAAGAGCCAGCAGAUCUCCCCUGAGACACAGAGCCAAACCCUGAGGACAUCAAAAAUGGGAGAGCACAACCCAACAGCAGCUCUCACACCUCCUGGACAGGCUUUGGAGGAGACUGAGCUCAGCUGGGAGAGGCAGAGCCACUCCCCCAUGGCAGGAGGGUUGAUGAUCCAAGAUGAUCCCAAAGGACCCCUCCAACACCCCCAAAAUUGGAAAAAUAUAAGCCAAAACAGGAGCAGCAAAGAAAUCACUGAUGGCAUGAAACAUCUUGCCACAGGAGUCCUGUCAGUGUGGAUUUGGCUUCUCCCCCAUCAUCACUCAAGAAGUUCUGGCACUUCUAAAAUUCUGAGGAGACUCACUGGGAAUAAUCCAAGUACUGGAUCACCAUCCACCCUGGCAGGAUCCUUCACAGAAGAGGCACCACAGCAGACAACAAACUAAACACUAAAUCCCCCUGGAGCUCCUCAGGCAGCAGGGACAUUGGGGCAGUGGGAUGAGCAGCACCUGGAUGGGUGUUGGAGCUGGAUGUGACUCCCUGGGCCCCACCCUUUCCACCAGCAGUUCAAGGAGGACGGGUGGCCUUGGAGCUACAGAACAUUUCUGGGUCUGUAAAUCCAUUCCUCGUCUCAGAAGCUGAUUGAUUCUUUUUUUUUUUUUUAAACUCAGAUUCAAUGUUUAAGAGUAAUGAUUUCCAAGUGAACACAGAGUGUCUCAGAUAUAUUGGCAGUUUUUAUGGAUCAGAGGCAAAAGCCUUAAUUCAGACCUUAACAAAGGGAAACGUGUCUGUCCCCAUCUCAGAACAAUAGCAGGGGCUGACAGCAGUGCAAAAACCCUUUCAUAGGUGAUGCCCAAUGAUUUAUCCCAGAACAUGGGCCAGCUGGGAUGCUCCCACAGAGAUGUCCUUGGGAUGCAGGCUAACUUAUUGGUGAGAUUCUGCAACCCAACCCCAACCCAGCCCUUCCCUCUCUCUGAAUCAAACACCUGGAAAAGCAGAAAGCAGCAGAGAUCCCAUGGGACUGAGGCAAGGGGGAAGGAUGGCCCUGUUUUCCCCUUGGCAAAGGAGCAUUAGAGGCACCAAAAGCUGACAGGCUCAGAAAUAAUGGUUUGAGAUCAUUCUUAUUUAAAAACCGGCUGCCUGCUGUUUUCAUCGCAAGCCCUGCUCUGACUUGCAGAAAUAUUUAAAAUUAAAUAUACAUAAGUGCUUUCAAAGAACUGUUAAUUUGAAGGUCAUUAAAUGGCAUAAAAUACAUUCCUUUUUUUUCUGGAAAGAGGCACGUAAUUAUGCCAUUAAUGCACGCUCUUCCUCCACAUUCAAGCCUCAGAGAUGAGAGGGCCUGGGUUCACCUUCCCUAGCAGAGGCACCACAUCUCCUUUUAAUUACUGCCAUUGAGAAGCCUGCUGCUCCUCCAUCACACCCAGGGAUGGGGCUGUGGAAAAAGCAUGGAAAAGCCCCAGGGGAGAACAACACAGCUGAAUUACAAAUGGGGAUUUUUGGGGGAUGAGGGAAGAAACAGCAGGGCUGGAAAUGUGGAGCCACUUGGCAACACCCAGUCCACUUGUGAGGAGGAUCUUGCCCACUGUUUCUCACACGAGACCUUGGGCCAAGGUCAGAGCAGGGGUUUGGUAGCCAGAAAUCCCUUUUUUGAUUUAACACUCUAUGCAAAAAGGACAAAGCCAACCCAGACACACACACACAAAAACCCCCUAAAAAGACACAAAAGGGUUGAGGUUUUUACAGUUGCCAUAGAAAUGGAGAGAAGGAGCUGAUGACUGCACAGCACAAAGUGAAAGGCCAGGACCAGGGGUGAGGGUGAGAUGGGCCCACCCGGGCACGCAGCCACAUCCAUGCAUGGAUAUUCAUGUGGGAUGCAGCCAAAGGAGCAAGGCACUGUGCUGAGCUUCACUCACGAGCAGUGGAAGGGGUCAGGAUCCAACCCAGUGGGGUCCAC